rnacentral:rRNA from 1 species
GACGAACGCUGGCGGCGUGCCUAAUACAUGCAAGUUGAGCGCUGAAGGUUGGUACUUGUACCAACUGGAUGAGCAGCGAACGGGUGAGUAACGCGUGGGGAAUCUGCCUUUGAGCGGGGGACAACAUUUGGAAACGAAUGCUAAUACCGCAUAAAAACUUUAAACACAAGUUUUAAGUUUGAAAGAUGCAAUUGCAUCACUCAAAGAUGAUCCCGCGUUGUAUUAGCUAGUUGGUGAGGUAAAGGCUCACCAAGGCGAUGAUACAUAGCCGACCUGAGAGGGUGAUCGGCCACAUUGGGACUGAGACACGGCCCAAACUCCUACGGGAGGCAGCAGUAGGGAAUCUUCGGCAAUAGACGAAAGUCUGACCGAGCAACGCCGCGUGAGUGAAGAAGGUUUUCGGAUCGUAAAACUCUGUUGGUAGAGAAGAACGUUGGUGAGAGUGGAAAGCUCAUCAAGUGACGGUAACUACCCAGAAAGGGACGGCUGACUACGUG